ensembl:snoRNA SNORA18 small nucleolar RNA, H/ACA box 18
GUUGAGGUCUAUCCCGAUGGGGCUUCUUCUGUAGCCACUUGUCGUUGGAAACGCCUCAUAGAGCAACUCUAUGGUUUUGCUUUACUCAUAGGACUAUAUGUUAGGCCUGUGGGAAGGAACUACCAGACAAUU